rnacentral:rRNA from 1 species
UAGGGAAUAUUGCAAAAUGGGCGCAAGCCUGAUGCAGCAACGCCGCGUGGGCGAUGAAGGCCUUCGGGUCGUAAAGCCCUUUUUGAGGGGAUGAGGAAGGACAGUACCCUCAGAAUAAGCCUCGGCUAACUACGUGCCAGCAGCCGCGGUAAAACGUAGGAGGCGAGCGUUAUCCGGAUUUACUGGGCGGAAAGCGCGUGCAGGCGGAUUGGAGGGUUGGAUGUGAAAGCUCCCGGCUUAACUGGGAGAGGUAGUUCAAUACUUCCA